rnacentral:rRNA from 1 species
GACGAACGCUGGCGGCGUGCUUAACACAUGCAAGUGGAGCGACGAACCAGGGCUUGCCCUGGGGCAGAGCCGCGAACGGGUGAGUAACACGUGGGUAACCUGCCCAGAUGACCGGGACAACCCGAGGAAACUCGGGCUAAUACCGGAUGUGCUGCUCUCACAUCAGUGAGAUCAGGAAAGGUAGCUUCGGCUUCCGCGUCUGGAUGGGCCCGCGGCGCAUUAGCUGUUGGUGGGGUAACGGCCUACCAAGGCGACGAUGCGUAGCUGGUCUGAGAGGACGAUCAGCCACACUGGGACUGAGACACGGCCCAGACUCCUACGGGAGGCAGCAGUGGGGAAUCUUGCACAAUGCGCGAAAGCGUGAUGCAGCAACGCCGCGUGAGGGAAGACGG